rnacentral:rRNA from 1 species
GACGAACGCUGGCGGCGUGCUUAACACAUGCAAGUCGAACGGUAAGGCCCUUUCGGGGGUACACGAGUGGCGAACGGGUGAGUAACACGUGGGUGAUCUGCCCUGCACUUUGGGAUAAGCCUGGGAAACUGGGUCUAAUACCGGAUAGGACUACGCGAUGCAUGUCGUGUGGUGGAAAGCUUUUGCGGUGUGGGAUGGGCCCGCGGCCUAUCAGCUUGUUGGUGGGGUGAUGGCCUACCAAGGCGACGACGGGUAGCCGGCCUGAGAGGGUGUCCGGCCACACUGGGACUGAGAUACGGCCCAGACUCCUACGGGAGGCAGCAGUGGGGAAUAUUGCACAAUGGGCGCAAGCCUGAUGCAGCGACGCCGCGUGUGGGAUGACGGCCUUCGGGUUGUAAACCCCUUUCAGCACAGACGAAGCGUAAGUGACGGUAUGUGCAGAAGAAGCACCGGCCAACUACGUG